AUACGGAAGGUCCGGGCGUUAUCCGGAUUCAUUGGGUUUAAAGGGAGCGCAGGCGGAGAUGCAAGCGUGACGUCAAAUUUCGGGGCUCAACCCCGUCUCGCGUCGCGAACUGCGUCCCUUGGUUGCGGGAAGGGGAGGCGGAACUCGUGGUGUAGCGGUGAAAUGCAUAGAUAUCACGAAGAACUCCGACCGCGAAGGCAGCCUUCCGGCCCGUCAACGACGCUCAUGCUCGAAGGUGCGGGUAUCAAACAGGAUUAGAUACCCUGGUAGUCCGCACAGUAAACGAUGGACACCCGCGGUUUGGCCUGUAUGGCUGAGCCGCCAAGCGAAAGCGUUAAGUGUCCCACCUGGGGAGUACGCCGGCAACGGUGAAACUCAAAGGAAUUGACGGGG
rnacentral:rRNA from 1 species